AUUGAACGCUGGCGGCAUGCUUUACACAUGCAAGUCGAACGGCAGCACGGGGGCAACCCUGGUGGCGAGUGGCGAACGGGUGAGUAAUAUAUCGGAACAUGUCCGGAAGUGGGGGAUAACGUAGCGAAAGUUACGCUAAUACCGCAUAUGCCCUGAGGGGGAAAGGAGGGGAUCGCAAGACCUUUCGCUUUCGGAGUGGCCGAUAUCAGAUUAGCUAGUUGGUGGGGUAAAGGCCUACCAAGGCGACGAUCUGUAGCUGGUCUGAGAGGACGACCAGCCACACUGGGACUGAGACACGGCCCAGACUCCUACGGGAGGCAGCAGUGGGGAAUUUUGGACAAUGGGCGCAAGCCUGAUCCAGCCAUGCCGCGUGAGUGAAGAAGGCCUUCGGGUUGUAAGGCUCUUUCGGACAGAAAGAAAUCGCCAUUCCUAAUACGAGUGGUGGAUGACGGUACUGUAAGAAGAAGCACCGGCUAACUACGUGCCAGCCGCCGCGGUAAGAC
rnacentral:rRNA from 1 species